AGUCCAUGAUAUGGAUAUUGUCUAAGCAUAUUAUUAAAUAUAUCUCAUGCUUCAAAUAAUGAUUCAGAAUCUGACUGUCUGAAGCUUGCUAUCAUAUUUCUCAUAUG